rnacentral:rRNA from 1 species
GGAGGAAAAGAAACCAACAGGGAUUGCCUUAGUAGCGGCGAGUGAAGCGGCAAAAGCUCAAAUUUGAAAUCUGGCACCUUCGGUGUCCGAGUUGUAAUUUGAAGAUUGUAACCUUGGGGUUGGCUCUUGUCUAUGUUUCUUGGAACAGGACGUCACAGAGGGUGAGAAUCCCGUGCGAUGAGAUGCCCAAUCCUAUGUAAGGUGCUUUCGAAGAGUCGAGUUGUUUGGGAAUGCAGCUCUAAGUGGGUGGUAAAUUCCAUCUAAAGCUAAAUAUUGGCGAGAGACCGAUAGCGAACAAGUACAGUGAUGGAAAGAUGAAAAGAACUUUGAAAAGAGAGUGAAAAAGUACGUGAAAUUGUUGAAAGGGAAGGGUUUGAGAUCAGACUCGAUAUUUUGUGAGCCUUGCCUUCGUGGCGGGGUGACCCGCAGCUUAUCGGGCCAGCAUCGGUUUGGGCGGUAGGAUAAUGGCGUAGGAAUGUGACUUUGCUUCGGUGAAGUGUUAUAGCCUGCGUUGAUGCUGCCUGCCUAGACCGAGGACUGCGAUUUUAUCAAGGAUGCUGGCAUAAUGAUCCCAAACCGCCCGUC